CCUACGGGAGGCUGCAGUGAGGAAUAUUGGUCAAUGGGCGGGAGCCUGAACCAGCCAAGUCGCGUGAGGGACGACGGUCCUAUGGAUUGUAAACCUCUUUUGUCGGGGAACAAAGGCGCCCACGGGUGGGCGGAUGAGUGUACCCGAAGAAAAAGCAUCGGCUAACUCCGUGCCAGCAGCCGCGGUAAUAGGGAGGAUGCGAGCGUUAUCCGGAUUUAUUGGGUUUAAAGGGUGCGUAGGCGGACAGUAAAGUCAGUGGUAAAAAUGCGGGACUCAACGGCUUACAGCCGUUGAAACUGGCUGUCUUGAGUGGGCGAGAAGAAGGCGGAAUGCGUGGUGUAGCGGUGAAAUGCAGAGAUAUCACGCAGAACACCGGUUGCGAAGGCGGCAUACCGGCGCCUGACUGACGCUGAGGCACGAAAGCGUGGGUAUCGAACAGGAUUAGAUACCCGGGUAGUC
rnacentral:rRNA from 1 species